GCUGCCCCACCCGGUUGGCACUGCUUGGGAAGGAUGCUGGGGCGGAGUUGGUUCUUAAGACCAGGCCUUGAAUCCUGAUGUGUAGGAUGACCACUGUAGCUUCUAUGAGGGGGUUCCCGGGGAAGGCAGACCCCACCAAAGAGGGCAGGAAGGUCUGGCUCCAGUUGAGUAAACAUCACCUGCCUCCAUCACUAGCCCAGCAAGGGACACUGCACCUGGGCUCCCCAGCCACCCACCCAUUACAAGCUGUUGGUGAACUACUGGCAAUGGGUCAGGUGUGAGGGUUUGGUGACCAGGCAGGGGUCUCCUUUGUGAAGUUCAGCUCAGGUCUCCUGGCACUGAAGGUCAGUAGGGAGCACUGGGGUCACAAAGGUCGUCAUCAUGGCCUUUGUCAGCUGUCAUGCUGGGCAGACUUCUCUCCAUCUGGACCUCAGGGUCCUCAGCUAUAAAAUGGGGAGGAACAAAAGGAACUGGGAAAGAUUCUCCUGCUGUGGUCUCAGAAGGAAACCUGAGGAGUUAGAAGUCCCAUUCUCAUAAAUCACAGCCACAAGUAUUUAUGUGCCUAACCUGGGACGGGAUACUGUGGGCAUCCAGCCCUAAUGGGCGGGCAUGAACCAAUCCCUGUGCACUGCAGGAGUGACCAGGAUGCCUG
rnacentral:lncRNA from 1 species